rnacentral:lncRNA from 1 species
CUGGCUUUUUGGACGGUGGCGGUUGGUCGUUCUUUGAGGCGGAGGUGAGUGGUUGGUCAUUCUUGGAGACGGGGGUGAGUGGUUCGUCGUCUUUGGACGCGGCGGGGGUUGGUUGCCGUUUCUUUGCCAUUGAGAAAUUUGGGAUUAGGGUUUCGGGGAGUGAGUCAGUGUGUCUGUCCGUGACAUCGAAAGUAUAUAUAACUAAAAAUAAUGGUAAAAAGAAGUUAGAGAGUCCAAAAUUAUUUUGCUUUUAUUAUGUUA